rnacentral:rRNA from 1 species
GACGAACGCUGGCGGCGUGCCUAACACAUGCAAGUCGAGCGAUGAAGUUUCCUUCGGGGAACGGAUUAGCGGCGGACGGGUGAGUAACACGUGGGUAACCUGCCUUGUAGAGGGGGAUAGCCUUCCGAAAGGAAGAUUAAUACCGCAUAAGAUUGUAGUUUCGCAUGAAACAGCAAUUAAAGGAGCAAUCCGCUACAAGAUGGACCCGCGGCGCAUUAGCUAGUUGGUGAGGUAACGGCUCACCAAGGCGACGAUGCGUAGCCGACCUGAGAGGGUGAUCGGCCACAUUGGGACUGAGACACGGCCCAGACUCCUACGGGAGGCAGCAGUGGGGAAUAUUGCACAAUGGGGGAAACCCKGAUGCAGCAACGCCGCGUGAGUGAUGACGGUCUUCGGAUUGUAAAGCUCUG